GGCGAACGCUGGCGGCGUGCUUAACACAUGCAAGUCGAACGAUGAACCCGGAGCUUGCUCCGGUGGAUUAGUGGCGAACGGAUGAGUAACACGUGAGUAACCUGCCCUUGGCUCUGGGAUAACUGCGGGAAACUGUAGCUAAUACCGGAUACGACCCUCGGCGGCAUCGCCAGGGGGUGGAAAGAAUUUCGGUAAAGGAUGGACUCGCGGCCUAUCAGCUAGUUGGUGGGGUAACGGCUCACCAAGGCGACGACGGGUAGCCGGCCUGCGAGGGUGACCGGCCACACGGGGACUGAGACACGGCCCAGACUCCUACGGGAGGCAGCAGUGGGGAAUAUUGCACAAUGGGCGCAAGCCUGAUGCAGCUACGCCGCGUGAGGGAUGACGGCCUUCGGGUUGUAAACCUCUUUUAGUAGGGAAGAAGCGAAAGUGACGGUACCUGCAGAAAAAGCACCGGCUAACUACGUGCCAGCCGCCGCUGUAA
rnacentral:rRNA from 1 species